CGCGCAGGCGGUUUCUUAAGUCUGUCUUAAAAGUGCGGGGCUUAACCCCGUGAGGGGACGGAAACUGGGAGACUUGAGUAUCGGAGAGGAAAGCAGAAUUCCUAGUGUAGCGGUGAAAUGCGUAGAUAUUAGGAGGAAUACCAGUGGCGAAAGCGGCUUUCUGGACGACAACUGACGCUGAGGCGCGAAAGCGUGGGUAGCAAACA
rnacentral:rRNA from 1 species